GACUGAGGAAAAGGAGCCGCAGGUGUGGUCAGAGUCCCGCGGCUCAGCGGGUGGAGGUGGGUGGAGGGAUUAAAGAAGUAGGUUGUGCGCACCAAAGACCCUUCCGAGGGUGCAGGGAAGCCUCAGCCCGACAUGCGGCCCAGGUGUGCUGCAGACUGACUUCUCCUGGGGUUUCCAUCCCAGCCAAAGAAAUAAACAGGAAGAAAAAGAAAAAGAAAUGAGAAACUUGUAAUGAAUAACAGUUCUGCAGUUAGCGAUUGUUGGCAAAGGAACUUGUCUUGAAGGAAUGAUUCAACCUAAGGGAGCCCCUCAGCUGGCUGUUUCCACCAUCCUGCCCCAGACCCACAGACUCCUGAGAGUCAGAUAGAAAGCUGGUGGCAGCUCCAGCCUGGAGACAGCACAGGGCAGUGCGGGGCUGUGUGGCCAGUGCCAGCCAUCCAGACAUAGGGAUGCAAGUGGGAUGCAGGGACGGUGGAGGCGGCAGUUUGGAGGAGGCAGGGGGGUGGUCCAAAAGGUGCAUCUUGGUGGUGACCCAUCUGAAGGAGUUUUCUUAUCCAUGUAACUGGGUAGAAAAUAAAGUAAAGUUCUCUUACUUAACAGUAGAACUUUUAUUUAUUCAUAAGGAAUGUAGACAUUUGUACUUGAUUUUUAGUAACUCUGUUCUUUGCCACCCACCAUUAAGACUCUCUUGUGUAAAGAGAUACGGCACAAAAUAGGAUGAGAAACUGGAAUAGGUUUCAAUUCUGGUCAUUUGAUCAACCAAAAAGGAAACCUAUCAUUCUUUUUCUUAAGGAGUAGUAUAUUUUUAGAGGAUUUCUUUUUAUUAUUAUAUGGAAUCCUGGAGCUUCAAACCACUCUUUAGCUCUUGAUUGGACUUCUGUGCCACAGAGAAACUAUUUAAUAGCACUGAAUCCAUGAAUGAACAAUGGGCGAACUACUUCUGUUGCACAUAUUUUUACCUCUCCAUCUUUUGGUGGGUCAGGUCUUGAUCAUUCUAGGAUUAGCUGUGUGCACUUGGUUGUUAGCUGUUACCCAUCUUUUAUGAUCUCAUACAAAAUGUUUACCCUAAAUUUAAGCUGGACUUCUGUUGUAGAUUGAUUGCUCCCAGCCAUCUGUGAGGAGUGAGAAAUGCUGACUCCACUCCAAGGGUUACCUUUUCUCUUUGGUAAAUACAUGUCUAGUUCCAGGCCCUUGGCCUACACAAGGCCCUCCACCUCUUUCUGUGAGAUUUGAGGCAGUUGCCUUUAGGAGGAGGAUGGUGGAUACACCCAAGGGUUUAGGGCUUUGCUCUUUCUAAACAUAGGCUGUUCUUUGAUCUUGCAGGUCUCCUUCCCUCAAAGCCUCUCCUUCUGAGAUUCCCAGACGUGGUGCAGAGAGGAUGCCUCUUCUUGGUAGUGUCUCAGGAUGGGGCUGGGGUCUGGGAUCCCAAGAGAAAGGCAAGGACCACUUCAGGGCACCAGGGCUCUAUCUCUUAUCGCAAAUAAUACAGAGCAGCCUGCACUGGUUUAACUCUAUUAUUCAUGAAUCUGUUGAUGAGCUAUUUCAUGCUUACUGAGUUCUGGAAGUGCCUUUGCUCCAAGUCAGAAGUUAUGAAGGAUUUACUGGGCUUUGACUCCUCCAGCCCCCGAAUCCCCACAGGCACCAGCAGUACAAGCAGAAUGAGCACCUCGUGUCAGAGAGAAGGAUGCUUGGCACAUGGUGGGUCCUCGGGCAUUAUCUGCUGAGUGACUGAAUGGCAGCAUGAGCAGAGGGGACAUUCCUGCCUGCCCAUGCUCUCUGCCCGGCCAUGGCCAUAUAUGCCCAACACUCGCCAGCUGUAGUCUGCUCUUUUCUUCACAGACUCUUCACUUAAAGUGUAUAGCCUGGGGCAACUUGCUCCUGACUUGUACACUAACGACCCCAUAGCUGGGUUCCACAUUGUUUUCAGGUAGAAUGUUUUGAGGUACAUCUGGCUGGAGAGAACAGAAAGCAUCACCGCUCAAGAAAAGAAGGAACAAUACAAAAAUGGGCAAAAGAACUUGUGGCCAGAGGUUGAGAAUUCAAGUCCACCACCUCACAUCUUUAUCAUACAGAAUUUCAGAUGCAGUGAAACAGCUGACAGUUUGCCAGGGGUGCCAGAAACAAUUGAAGAUUAGACUGAGCCUCCCAUCAGUUAGCUGUCAAGCUGUACAAAUACACUACCUCUAAAUUGUCUGUGGAAUCACAUCACAUGGGUAUUUGCAGAACUUAGGGGCCACAUUGCUGAA